CGUGACCUCCGGCAUCUCCUCCAUGAAUUCUUUUAGGACAAACUCAGACCACAGAGCUGUGAGUCUGCAGUGGAUUCCAUGGGCGACAUAGAAGCUGGGAGGGCUCAGCCGCAGGGGGUGGGACAGCCCCAAUUUGGAAGCGGCCAGCCCAGAUUUGAAGGCACCACGUGGGUUAGGGAGGCGGGAGGCGGAGGCCAGGAGCUGCCUCUGGGCGCCAGGCCUGCUGUGGAAUUUGCGCCACAGCUCCCUAGCAUGCACGGGCCUGCCAGCCAGCCCCGCAGAGGCCCAAACAAAGCUGGGAGCCAGGAGAAAGGGGGAGGGGAGGGAACUUCUGAGAUCAGGCAGCCCCUUCCUGGGGCACCGAGUCCCCACCUAGGUGCAACGCCCCUCCCCAAACACACGUGCUGCCAAGCCCUCCAUUAGUCACCCCGGCCCUCACACACAUAAAUCCGAUUAGUCACACCCCGCACAAACUCGCUGCGGAACACACCCGGUCACACCCAGACAAAGACCCGAGGUCCCCAAAGAGGCCUAGUUUGUCUAUUGGGGUUUGUUUCCCAUCCCCCAGGGACUAGCAUGACGUUUUGCGGGAGAGGGCACCGCAGCCUGCGGUUCACAGGCGUCUUCGCAACAGCCAACUCCCCUUUACCUGGCGCUUCGUUGGGGCUUUGCAUGGACUGCUUGGCCCGGAAUGUGGAUCUGCAGCCUCUCGCUGCUAGGCUACCAUCCGGGUCAGUGCUCGUAUUUCUCUGCGCCCAGCUCAAAUCCUUCACCCCCCGCCCCCACCAAGUGCUUUGAGACAUCGUAGGGAAUCCAAGAGUUCCGUGGGUGAGAGCAAGGUUUCCACGUCCCAGCACCCCGCAUCUGACACCCGGAGAUGCACCCAGGAGGGAGUGAAUGCUCGCCCCCCCACCGUUGCUGUCCCCACCCUGAGCCCCAUGCACUCACAGAGACCAGCAGAAUGGUCUGUUGCUUGCCUCUUAGGCAAAGAGAAUUCUUGUGGCAUUAGACGUUAUUAACCGCAAAUGCACCCACUUGUGUAGUUCCCCCCUUAGGGGUAACCGUCACUCUAUGGCCGCCACCGCCAGAUAACCAAUGCCUGCUUUCCGUAUGGUUCGGUUCUGAGUAUCAAGGCGAGUGGUGGACUUGGGAAAACCAGACCCGAAGGAGACGCUUCGCAGUGUCCUUGGCAAGGAGUCAAGGGAAGCCCAUGAGGUCCUGCCUCCAAAUACCAAGCUUGUAGCCACCUCGAUCGGAUCUUGGAUGCCUCCUCCCCCAAAACAGAUCUCGCAUAAGGGCCUGGGAUUAACAAGGGGUUCAGAGUCCCCUUCCUUGGCAUAGAUGACCACACACCCACCCAUCGAACUUUCCUACAUGAAGUGCCUGGGCCCAGACACCCCUAGCCCAGACCGUGAUCUGUGAGGCCCGACACUCUUGGUGCUGGCACCGAGUGGGUGAGGCAGUUCCCUCUCUUUGGCGAAUGGGGAAGCUCCUGGCUUGAUUCCCUGCGUGGUCUCGGGGUCCACAGGCCGUGACCAAGGAGAGAAGAGAGUCUGGCCCUGCCUCGGGGAGGAGGGCCAGCGUGCAGAUUUAUGACCCUACCCUGUCCCUGCGCACCAAAAGCAACUCAAGCCAGACAGUGGAAUGUAAGACCCGACCCGGGCCAGAGGAGGAGGCCAGGGUCGGAGGCGGGGCUGAGAGGAGCAGAAAUUCGAAGUGGCCGGGUGCCACCGCCCCGGGGUUACCGGUUGCUCGUUGGGGUCCGGAUGCUGUGCGUGGCUCUGGCACCACAUCUUUGGUUCUGCUGGUGGGCCUGGGUUGCCCUUGGAUGAACCUCUUCAGGAUUCCCACCUUCUGAUGGGCCAACCGCAGCGAGAGACUGCGAGCGUGGCUGGGCCCAGCCUGGCCUCUCCGGGUUUUAGCGGCGCCCGGGCCGGGAGCUGUAGGGUAGCCGGAUUUAGGAUCUACGGAAACGCUCGCUUUAGACUCUACUAUGGCAUCUCCACGGGAGGCACAACUCAGCUUUCUCUUGGGAUCCCCUUUACUUAAGUCUCCAGUGGAGUUCACUCCUUGGGAGAGCUGGUUUGGGGCAACCGAUACAGGGUGGUUUGGAUGUCCUCCCUUAGGAAUGGAAACUAGCUUUGUUUCUUUUUCCUUCUUCCCCUGAUGAAGGAGUAUGGUGGAAACCUGUUCACAGCGCUAGCAACAUCGGGGGUGUGGAUGAUGAUGAGGUCAACCUUUCGUGGGGCAUAAGUGAGGGAAGGAAACGCGGGGUUCCCUGGAGCUGGACAAAGGCGCACCGCAGGGGAGGCAGCCGCGCUCAAGGUUGGCCUGUCCUCUGAUUUUACAACAAAGAGCUUUGAGUUUUGUCCGUGGGGACUCGUUCAGACCGGGACUAGGGACCUGGAAGAACACACUAGAAGGCUCAGGAGUGGCCGGGGACGACCACGCCGGACCAGACAGGCCAGCUCGAGUGGGUUGUCCGGGAACUGCGUCCUGGGACUACAUGGAGGCCCCCCCCCCCAGCUGAUUUUCCAUCCAGUCAGUACAACACACACACUGCGUCAACACAGUUUUUCUGGCCACGGAUCCUGACGGGUAAACAAGCGAGAGGGAUGGGGGAUGGGGCGCGAAGAUGGCGCCUGGACCCGUGGUCCGUGCAUUUGUCCCCAUCUCCGUUUUAGGACGAGCACACCCGGCUUUUGUAGUUAAGAGCGUCUCUGCCCCGGCUGUAGGUCGUUUCCCCAGACCCAGAGGCUCUCGGAAGUGGUGUGGUGUUGGUGCAACCUCUGCUUCUCUGCAAGUCCCCACGCCCCAACAUGGCUCCCAACCGCUGUUACAUGUAGGGGGACACAGGGGCGUGGAGACCAGGGCCCUCGCCUGCCCACCGCACACUUAUACUUGGCAGACUGGAGAGACGCAGGAGGGACCCAGCCUGCGUUCCCCUGCUUGGGCGCUGGGAAUCCGGUGCCACCGGUUCCCCAGGUUCAGCGCACCGGUGGCCCGAGAGCCGAGUGGCAGGCCGAGAGGGGACCCAGAACGCCGCACAUUCCAGGGGGGAGCGGGCCACGUUCCACACCAACCACGGCCCUAAUGAAACUGGGUCGGUACGCCACGCAGACAGGGCGCACACUUGAAAAAUGCAAACGCCACCGGCAAAUCCCAGGCAAAUUGGAAUAAUUUUUUAUUAGCAGCUAAAUGAUUUAUGGCACAAUACCCCGCCGUCACAAUUACGGCGUCUUGGAGCAUCCAGGGGUGAAAACAUUAAACAUUUAUAAAAACAGGCCUUUGUUUUUUUCUAUCCCCGCAAGCCUUUUGCACAAUCCCCCAUCCCAUUUCUCUCAAGAUACAUAUUUUUUUUGAGCUGUAUUAAAAUAAGGAAAACAUUCUGGAUCCCGGGAGGGAUGAGGGGGUUGGGGGAGAUCAGGGCCUGCGCUCUGAAUAUUGGAGGGCGAUGGGGGGGUGGGGGAAAGCGGUGGGACUGAGGCGUGGGAGGGUUUAACUGGGAACCCACAAAGGCCUCUGGAUAAGGCUCAAGGGCACUAAGCGCUCCCCACCCCCUCAGCCCGUUCCUCUCUUGUUUCCAGCAGCCCGCGCAGCUUAACGGCAUUUAUUUUAUUUCUUGCAAUCAACCCCCCUCCCCUAAGGCACAUAGACACAAUACCUCCUUUCUCUAACCCCCCUCUCUCCGUCUUUGCUCCUGGCCGUCCCCGGGCAGCACCGGACGCCUCGGGUCGCCCCUGGCUGCCACUGAGACCCGCACGCCCAGCUCCAAGCGCGCGGACACCGCCGCUCAGUUCCCCUCGGCUCGGGCUAUUUUCGUUCUUUUCUCUCCUUCUCACUCCUCCCUCCUCCCCCCACCGAGCUCCAGCUUCCAAAAGAGGGCAGCCUAGAAACCAGCGCAGGAAGCUCCAGGAAGGGCAACUUGAAACUGCCCUCAAGAGGCCGAAUUUUUUUUCCUUCAAAUUUAUCCUGGAAUUAAAUUAGACACCCCCAGUUCUCUCUCGAAUCUUCCCCCCUCUUUUUUUCUUUCUAAAAGUGGAGAAAAGAAAAUAGAACGGAUGAGCGCUAACUAGCUCAUUAAAAAAAAGACUUCAGAAAAAUUGCCUUAAAAUGGAUUUUCUUUAAAAAAAAAUAGCAGUGUGAAAACGCUGAGUCCGCAGAGCAGGGCGAAAGAGCGGGCUUCUUUUGUUUUAAUUAAAAUCCUAUAACCACGGUUGCUCUCGAGGCAGGAUCUGCAAGCUCUCUGCCUUUCCAAGCUUCUUUUCCAGGGUAGGUAAUGCCUAGCUGGGCUCGGGCUCCUGUGGGGCUUGUGGAGAGGGUGUGGGGACCCCCCUCCCCUUAGGACCAGUCCCUUCGGCGAGGACCACAAUCCCCGCGUCCCCAGCCAGGUAUAUCUGCCGUCCGCAGUUCCUGGCCGCUCAGCCCCGAAAGUUUUUUUUUUUUUUUUUUUUUUGCUGAAGGAGCAAAAUAAAAGUACAAAGUCUGGGGGAUUGGGCUCCCCUCCCCCUCUGGCCGCCGUGGCCAGCCAAGCACUUUUGGGCUUGGCUUGCUUCCUCUGAGCUCAACAGAUUUUUUUUUUUUCUCCCUUUCCCGGUCUCGCCCUCCCUGGAGGGGGCGCGGCGGAUGGAAGGCGAGAGAGGCCCCCAGCCAAGAGGUUUUUAAUAUUACACCUUAA
ensembl:lncRNA